AGAUUGAACGCUGGCGGCAUGCCUUACACAUGCAAGUCGAACGGCAGCACGGGAGCAAUCCUGGUGGCGAGUGGCGAACGGGUGAGUAAUAUAUCGGAACGUGCCCAGUCGUGGGGGAUAACGCAGCGAAAGCUGUGCUAAUACCGCAUACGAUCUAUGGAUGAAAGCGGGGGAUCGCAAGACCUCGCGCGAUUGGAGCGGCCGAUAUCAGAUUAGCUAGUUGGUGGGUAAAAGCCUACCAAGGCGACGAUCUGUAGCUGGUCUGAGAGGACGACCAGCCACACUAGGAACUGAGACACGGUCCAGACUCCUACGGGAGCAGCAGUGGGAAUUUUGGACAAGUGGGCG
rnacentral:rRNA from 1 species